rnacentral:rRNA from 1 species
CGUGUAGGCGGAUCGCCGCGUCGGCUGCUGAAAUCCCCCGGCUCAACCGGGGAACGGGCACCGAUACGGGCGGUCUCGAGGGGGGUAGGGGGGUCUGGAACUUCCGGUGGAGCGGUGAAAUGCGUUGAGAUCGGAAGGAACGCCCGUGGCGAAAGCGAGGCCCUGGACCCUUACUGACGCUGAGACGCGAAAGCCAGGGGAGCGAACG